AUACGGAGGGUGCAAGCGUUAUUCGGAAUCACUGGGCGUAAAGAACGCGUAGGCGGGUUGGCAAGUCAGAUGUGAAAUCCUACAGCUUAACUGUAGAACUGCAUUUGAAACUGCUAACCUAGAGUAUGGGAGGGGGAGAUGGAAUUAGUGGUGUAGGGGUAAAAUCCGUAGAUAUCACUAGGAAUACCGAAAGCGAAGGCGAUCUCCUGGAACAUAACUGACGCUAAGGCGUGAAAGCGUGGGGAGCAAACAGGAUUAGAAACCCUAGUAGUCC
rnacentral:rRNA from 1 species